rnacentral:rRNA from 1 species
UGACAUCCCGGGACGGUUUCCAGAGAUGGGAUCMUCGUAGCAAUAGGCCCGGAGACAGGUGUUGCAUGGCUGUCGUCAGCUCGUGUCGUGAGAUGAUGGGUUAAGUCCCGCAACGAGCGCAACCCUCGGWGWKAGUUGCCAUCAUUUAGUUGGGCACUSUAACGGGACCGCCGGUGAUAAGCCGGAGGAAGGUGGGGACGACGUCAAGUCAUCAUGGCCCUUACGGGGUGGGVUACACACGUGCUACAAUGGCGACCAUAAAGGUUUAAUCCCCAAAAGUGGUGUCAGUUCAGAWUGUCCUSUGCAACUMGAGGGCAUGAAGUCGGAAUCGUUAGUAAUCGCAGAUCAGCACGCUGCGGUGAAUACGUUCCCGGGCCUUGUACACACCGCCCGUCACACCAUGGGAGUUGGUUNUACCCGAAGGCAGUGCGCCAACCGCAAGGAGGCAGCUGACCACGGUAGGUCA